UACGUAGGUGGCAAGCGUUGUCCGGAAUUAUUGGGCGUAAAGCGCGCGCAGGCGGCCUUUUAAGUCUGAUGUGAAAGCCCACGGCUCAACCGUGGAAGGUCAUUGGAAACUGAAAGGCUUGAGUACAGAAGAGGAAAGCGGAAUUCCACGUGUAGCGGUGAAAUGCGUAGAGAUGUGGAGGAACACCAGUGGCGAAGGCGGCUCUCUGGGACGGUACUGACGCUGAGACGCGAAAGCGUGGGGAGCAAACAGG
rnacentral:rRNA from 1 species